GUGCCAGCAGCCGCGGUAAUUCCAGCUCCAAUAGCGUAUAUUAAAGUUGUUGUGGUUAAAAAGCUCGUAGUUGAACCUUGGGCCUGGCUGGCCGGUCCGCCUCACCGCGUGCACUGGUCCGGCCGGGCCUUUCCCUCUGUGGAACCCCAUACCCUUCACUGGGCGUGGCGGGGAAACAGGACAUUUACUUUGAAAAAAUUAGAGUGCUCCAGGCAGGCCUAUGCUCGAAUACAUUAGCAUGGAAUAAUAAAAUAGGACGCGCGGUUCUAUUUUGUUGGUUUAUAGGACCGCCGUAAUGAUUAAUAGGGACAGUCGGGGGCAUCAGUAUUCAACUGUCAGAGGUGAAAUUCUUGGAUCAGUUGAAGACUAACUACUGCGAAAGCAUUUGCCAAGGAUGUUUUCAUUAAUCAGGAACGAAAGUUAGGGGAUCGAAGACGAUCAGAUACCGUCGUAGUCUUAACCAUAAACUAUGCCGACUAGGGAUCGGACGGUGUUAUUCAUGACCCGUUCGGCACCUUACGAGAAAUCAAAGUGCUUGGGCCCCAGGGGGAGUAUGGUCGCAAGGCUGAAACUUAAAGAAAUUGACGGAAGGGCACCACCAGGGGUGGAGCCUGCGGCUUAAUUUGACUCAACACGGGGAAACUCACCAGGUCCAGACACAAUAAGGAUUGACAGAUUGAGAGCUCUUUUCUUGAUUUUUGUGGGGUGGUGAUGCAUGGCCGUUCUUAGUUGGUGGGGUGACUUGUCUGCUUUAAUUGCGAUAACGG
rnacentral:rRNA from 1 species